rnacentral:rRNA from 1 species
AUUGAACGCUGGCGGCAGGCCUAACACAUGCAAGUCGAGCGGAUGAAGGGAGCUUGCUCCUGGAUUCCGCGGCGGACGGGUGAGUGAUUCCUAGGAAUCUGCCUGGUAGUGGGGGAUAACGUCCGGAAACGGGCGCUAAUACCGCAUACGUCCUGAGGUAGAAAGUGGGGGAUCUUCGGACCUCACGCUAUCAGAUGAGCCUAGGUCGGAUUAGCUAGCUGGUGGGGUAAAGGCUUACCAAGGCGACGAUCCGUAACUGGUCUGAGAGGCUGAUCAGCCACACUGGAACCGAGACACGGUCCAGACUCCUACGGGAGGCAGCAGUGGGGAAUAUUGGACAAAGGGCGAAAGCCUGAUCCAGCCAUGCCGCGUGUGUGAAGAAGGUCUUCGGAUUGUAAAGCACUUUUAGUUGGGAGGAAGAGCAGUAAGUUAAUACCUUGCUGUUUUGACGGUACCAACAGAAUAAGCACCGGCUAACUUCGUG